AGAGUUUGAUCCUGGCUCAGGAUGAACGCUAGCGGCAGGCCUAACACAUGCAAGUCGAGGGGUAGAGUUAGCUUGCUAACUUGAGACCGGCGCACGGGUGCGUAACGCGUAUGCAAUCUACCUUGUACAGGGGGAUAGCCCAGAGAAAUUUGGAUUAAUACCCCAUAGUAUAUUUGAAUCGCAUGGUUUAAAUAUUAAAGUUCCAACGGUACAAGAUGAGCAUGCGUCCCAUUAGCUAGAUGGCAAGGUAACGGCUUACCAUGGCAAUGAUGGGUAGGGGUCCUGAGAGGGAGAUCCCCCACACUGGUACUGAGACACGGACCAGACUCCUACGGGAGGCAGCAGUGAGGAAUAUUGGUCAAUGGACGCAAGUCUGAACCAGCCAUGCCGCGUGCAGGAAGACGGUCCUAUGGAUUGUAAACUGCUUUUAUACAGGAAGAAACAACUCUACGUGUAGAGUCUUGACGGUACUGUAGGAAUAAGGAUCGGCUAACUCCGUGCCAGCAGCCGCGGUAAUACGGAGGAUCCAAGCGUUAUCCGGAAUCAUUGGGUUUAAAGGGUCCGUAGGCGGCCUUAUAAGUCAGUGGUGAAAUCUCCUAGCUCAACUAGGAAACUGCCAUUGAUACUGUAGGGCUUGAAUUCUUAUGAAGUAACUAGAAUAUGUAGUGUAGCGGUGAAAUGCUUAGAUAUUACAUGGAAUACCAAUUGCGAAGGCAGGUUACUAAUAAGACAUUGACGCUGAUGGACGAAAGCGUGGGGAGCGAACAGGAUUAGAUACCCUGGGUAGUCCACGCCGUAAACGAUGGAUACUAGCUGUUCGGACGCAAGUUUGAGUGGCUAAGCGAAAGUGAUAAGUAUCCCACCUGGGGAGUACGCACGCAAGUGUGAAACUUAAAGGAAUUGACGG
rnacentral:rRNA from 1 species